rnacentral:rRNA from 1 species
GUAAGGAAUAUUGCGCAAUGGGCGAAAGCCUGACGCAGCGACGCCGCGUGGGGGAUGAAGGUCUUCGGAUUGUAAACCCCUUUCGGGAGGGAAGAUGGAGUGGGGUAACCCAUUCGGACGGUACCUCCAGAAGCAGCCACGGCUAACUUCGUGCCAGCAGCCGCGGUAAUACGAAGGUGGCAAGCGUUGUUCGGAUUUACUGGGCGUACAGGGAGCGUAGGCGGUUCGGUAAGCCCUCUGUGAAAUCUCCAGGCUUAACCUGGAACAGUCGGAGGGGACUGCCGGGCUAGAGGACGGGAGAGGAGCGCGGAAUUCCCGGUGUAGCGGUGAAAUGCGUAGAGAUCGGGAGGAAGGCCGGUGGCGAAGGCGGCGCUCUGGAACGUUUCUGACGCUGAGGCUCGAAAGCGUGGGGAGCAAACAGGAUUAGAUACCCUAGUAGUCC